CAAGCGACAUUGACAUAUUCUGAGGCUCUACAUGUGAUUCAAACAUUAUUUCUAAAGUCAUCCUACAUCACGUUCAUAUAUAUAUAAGGAUCCAUGGUUAUUAUGGAACAUAGUAAUACAUACUUCCUGCUGUUCUGCUGUUUUUUCUUGAGAGGAAGUAUUUGUGGCACAUCAUUAACUAUAGACACGUGUGGAUUUUCUGGGGAGUCAGUGUCAUUAAGCUGUACGUUACCAUCUGCAGAAUUUACACAAAAUAUAGAAUGGAGUAAUGACAUC